rnacentral:lncRNA from 1 species
CCUCUCUUUUGCCAGGGAUGACUACGAGGUGUCAUGUCCUGAGCUCGACCAGCUGGUAUCAUCUGCGCUAGAAGUGCCAGGUGUCUUUGGCUCCAGGAUGACAGGCGGCGGCUUCGGGGGAUGCACCGUCACGCUGGUGAAACAAGAAAGUGUGGAAAACCUCAUUUCUCACACACUCCAGAAAUACAAUGGAAAACCAACCUUCUAUGUGUGUUCACCUUCAGAAGGAUCACGUCUGCUUGUUCUGUAAUCAGUGCGACAGGAGACCAGAUGAACCAGCCAAUGGUUGCUAUAUAUUUCUGAUUGUGGUGCAAUUAUUUUUAUCAUUCUUAUAGUGUAAUUGAUCAUUUUAAUAACUCAUCAAAAAUUGGAGGUAUUGUUCCAUUCAUUUUGGAUAAAUCGGGAAAUACA